CCGAGCUUGCCUUCCAAGUGUGCGUUCAUCCCACUCUCCCCUGCUAUAGCCUCUCCUCUCUCCACCUUCCAACUAUCUCUUCUCUCCUUCCGGCCACCGGCGUUUGACCCUGAGGCACUCAUACCGCCAGCUGGUUUAGAAUGCCAGCCCGUAUAUAUGAGUGCCUCACGUAGCGUUUAGAAUGCUAGCGGUACGAGUGUCUCAAGGUCAAACUCCGGUGAUCAGAAAAACAACGGCAACAGAGGCAAGUUCAAAUAUAGUAAUCAUUAUUGAUUUAUUAUGCAAAGUUCUAACGUAAAUUUUGCUCCUAAAAUAGGUAGAAAAAAUUGUUUCUACGGAAUCUCUUGAACUCCAGAGGUACUAACCGUUUUUGUUCCCUCUUAGAACUGGAUUGUGCACAUCCUAAAACUUUCUUUUUCUUACAUCACUAUGUUUAUUUCAGGGCAGGAACAAGCGACGGAAAGACAGAGAAAAAUGAAGAGGUUUUCGAGGGUAACACACUCUAACUUGAUCUUCUUACCACAGAAAGUUAGUCCAGUGUUGGCCGUUCGUGUCAAGAUAUUGAUAAUCUGUAUGUACUGUAUAGGACCAAGACGCGUGGUAGUCAACAUCACCGACAUCAAACGACCACCCCCCACCUCAAUAUGUCGAGAAGUAUCCACCCCGCUCGACCCAUCAGUGCCACCACAGUGAUCAUGAAGAUAACUUGUUAUGCAUGGAUCCACACUAGGAGAAGAAGACAAGUUGCCCUAGUUGUGUUUGUGUGGUAGCAUCGUAUCUUUAUUCAUUUCGGUCUUCCCUACAACUACUACCAGUGCUACUUAGUCUGGUCUCAAAAAGAAAGAAAGUACUUAGUCUAGCGAUUCCGCAAGUAGUGUUUCUGUCAUGUUAUUAUUUCAUCUACUAGCUUCCUGCAUAACACGUCGUGUAAGCAAACAUUAGUAGUGAAGGUUCUGUGUACGGUGAAGCAUCAAUCCUAUUUACCAAUAGGCAUGCCCAUGAGGAGUUUGACGACCUCUUGUAACUGCAAGGGCUUUCCGCAUGUCUCUGGCCGGCCUAGCCAUGCAAACUGGAAAGAUAUGAGAGAUGCUAUACUUGUGCGGAUCAAAGCCCCCGUCCAAAUAAAAACAAAUGUCAAACG
rnacentral:lncRNA from 1 species